AGAGUUUGAUCAUGGCUCAGGACGAACGCUGGCGGCGUGCUUAACACAUGCAAGUCGAACGCGAAAGGCCCUUCGGGGCCGAGUAGAGUGGCGAACGGGUGAGUAACACGUGGGCAACCUGCCCCAUGGAGCGGGACAACCCGAGGAAACUCGGGCUAAUACCGCAUGAUUCGUCGGUGCUCAAGUGCCGGCGGGAAAUGGUAGCUUCGGCCUCCGCCAUGGGAUGGGCCCGCGGCGCAUUAGCUUGUUGGUGAGGUAACGGCCCACCAAGGCGACGAUGCGUAGCUGGUCUGAGAGGACGAUCAGCCACACUGGGACUGAGACACGGCCCAGACUCCUACGGGAGGCAGCAGUGGGGAAUCUUGCGCAAUGGGCGGAAGCCUGACGCAGCAACGCCGCGUGUGGGAAGACGGCCUUCGGGUUGUAAACCACUUUCAGGGGGGACGAAGCUUCCGAGGUUAAUAGCCUACGGGGUGACGGUACCCCCAGAAGAAGCCCCGGCUAACUACGUGCCAGCCGCCGCGGUAAUAC
rnacentral:rRNA from 1 species